CUUUGUAAAUCCCCCCCAGUCACCAGGUUUCACGCAUCUUGAAGGCAGAGGCUUUGUUGACACAAAGUGAUUGGCAAAAAGGGAGCACCAUAGCAGUGUUUCCUACCCCGAAAUCUGUUUCUUUACUUUGGUUUUAAACCAGAUAGAAGAUAAAGAAACUGAGGCCCAUAGAAACAAAGCAAUUUUGCUAAGGUUAUACAGAGAGUAUGGUGGAGCUGGAUUCACAGGUGGGUUUGCCUGACUCCAAGACGCAUUCUCUUUCCACUAUACCACAUUACCUUUCUCAUUAAUUUCCUAAAACCAAUGGGUUCUAGUAUGCUGUUCACAGUACACUCACGCAAUACCUGCUUCCUAGUACAUACAUCUAUUUUAUAGGCGAGGGAUGAUAGAAGCCAGGGCAUUAGAAAAUUAAAUAUCUUUUUUUAUUAUUAUUUUUUAAGACAGAGUCUCACUCUGUCGCC
rnacentral:lncRNA from 1 species